UUAGUUCUGAGUAAGAUAUUGCAUCCAUCUCAGUGUUAGUCUCCUUGCUGGAUCGGAGUAAGGUAUUGUAUAUAUACUAUAUACUAUUAUAUAAAAGUAUGAAGUGCUGGUACCCUUUAUAUUUUUAUAAUUUUUAUAAUACUCAAAUACUCUCUAAUUGGAAUUCUUUUACUACUCUAAUAUCUCCAUGUCACGUCCCUUCUCUAUCUUUCUCACUUUCCAUUUUUUGUGAAACUCUUGUCCUAGGUACGUAACAAAUAUCAGAUCUGAAAAUUCCAAGAUCGAAACGUCUCUUUAUCUGAAAUUCUAAGCAGCGAAAUCAAACUUUUGAUUAUCUAUUCGACCUCAUCAACUAAACUGUGAUGAAGCCUUCUCGAUCUCCGUUGCAUUAGAUCCGUUGGAAGGAAAAAAUCUUUGAGGAAGACUUGGAUUCUGCUGAUCGUCAAGGACUUCAACGGUGUCUCCACUGCAUCGUAAGUUUUUGUUUAGUAUUUAUCUUCCAAUUUGAAUAUGAAAAAAAGUUAAAAUUUUAAUGAACAAGUGGCUACGAUUCUUACCGGAUUUGACGCAACAAAUGCUGGAAUCUGGGGAUCUUAUUAGUUGGGAUUCUAUCUAAAACACCUAGCAGAGUUUCUUAAAUUAGUGUUUCAAUCUUUACUUUUAUUGGAUUUGAUGUAACAAAUGCUGGAAAGAUGGCUGAACUUAGAAAGGAGGUGGAAGAAUAUGAUGAUCUCUUGAUGCUAGACAUUGAGGAGUACAGCAGACUUCCAUAUAAAACGUUAGUGUUGCGAAUAGUUUGAAUUGAGUUCUUUAUUUGUCCUUUUUUCUCAUCACUUUUUUAUGAAAUUUCUCUUAAUACUGGAAAACCUUUUCAUCUCUUUUCAUAAAGGUAGCUCCAAUCCUGUUACUGAUCAAAAUUCAGCUUCCACGACCUCAAAUACAACUCCACUCCUAAUCUACUCGUGCGGUGUUAGACAUUUCUAUUAUCCCAUUCUACAAUGUCUAAAUCCUCCUUCCCAUUAUCAUCCAACCUCCCCUCCCCAAUUCUUUCACUUCCUCCUUCAUGAAACCUCUUUCUCCCUCCUAAUCCCAUGCUCAUGCUCUCUCUCUCUCUCUCUCUCUCUCAUAUAUUUCUAAAACUCUUUCUUUAAUCUGUCUCUUCUUUCCUCUCAUCUCUAUUAUUCUACAACCAAUAUUGGUGGUGGUUUUUCUGAAAUUGCAGUUUUCCAAGUACUUUUUUUCUUUAUUCCUGGUUGCUUCACUGGUCUUAGCUGGAUAAUAUUUUCUUCAUUUUUUAGGCCGACUCCAUUUAGUGGAGAAAAGGCUGAGUUGUAAUUUUUUUUCUCCAUUUUUUGUUUUUUUUUAAAUUACUAAUCCAAAGAGCUUAUUACAGAUUCAGUUCUCUAUUUGUGCUUUAAAGUUUCUUAUUUUCUUCAUAUACAAGUGAGUUUUUGGAGUUGUCCCGGUUCACAGUGAAAAACACAUCAGUGAUCUGCCGGAGUAGAUUUUUGUACCCAUUUCCAUAUCCCCAUUUAGUUGGGAUAAGGUUAUACAUGUUGUUGCUAUUGUUGUUCUAUAUGCUCAUUUACAAAAUCUCGAGGAAAAAAGUUGUAUGAGAAAGUACUUUAUCUUCCACUUUCAUUCAUUUUCAAUGCAAUCUCAGUUUAAAGCUGCAAAUUAUUUUCCUCAACUCAUAUUAUCGAAUGGUAUUUUUAUGACUGGUAAGAAGGUAAAGAAGACAAAUGCCCCAGUUACAGAAUUUAUUUAUUAGGGAAUUCUAAACUACUGGAUGUUGAAGAUUGCCUAUAUGAGGAGGGUGAGGAUGAACCAAGGGUGUUUAUAUUACUAAGCUUGAGGAACUCAAGAAGUUUUACUAGUAGGAGUGAUUAGAGAUGGAGAACUCGGAGAGAAUACUAGCAGUUGAACAACUUAACUGUUGCAUCAACAGUUCAAGAGAGGCAGCAUUGUGAAGAACCUUUGGAAUAACUUAAUUUCUCUGUUUGUUAGGAUCUAAUUGAUUUGGCCUUGGAAAGAACCCUUGGAACUAAUUUCUCUGUUUAUUAGAAUGUAAUGGAUUUGGCUUCAUAAUUGUAGAUGACUUAUGCUGGUGUUUAUACUUGAUAUCUGGUUGGUGGUAUAUGAGUGUGUGGAACGAAGCACGGUUGAGAGAGAAAGAAGGUAGCAACAAGUAAGCCUGCCAAAAUAUUCAUUUCCAAUUCUGUUGCCAACUGAUGUGAGAAGGAAAGCAAAAGCAGUUGAUAGGUGAUGUGUCAAGAGCAUUCCCUCUCCAAUUUGGAAGCUUCAGUCAUGGUUUUGCAUAUGGAUGCAGAACCACAUAAGAGAAUGGGAACGAAUAUGAAAAUAUUGAAGGAUCAUUUGAUGAGAGAUGAAAGGAGUAUGUUAAAUGGGCUGCAAGCAUGGCUUUAGAGCUUAGUGUUGUUGUUACUUGGGUUAUGUGCAGACAACCUGAUGCACCAGAAAACAUUGCCAAAUUCUUAUAAGGAUUCAGCACUUGGGAUGUGGGUAAGAUCCUAGCCUAGCAUAUUAUAAUUACAUGCGGUUAACUUUGUCUGUUUCAUAUAAAUUUCUUCAAGAUGCAUUCUAAAACCGAGGCAUAACUCAUUAGCUCAGUCCAUUUUUUGGUGAUGAUUGGAAUGUUGUAUCGAUUGGAAAAGAUCAGAAUUAAAAAAAUUAUUGAUAGUGGUUUGCAGUUCC